CCUACGGGGGGCUGCAGUGAGGAAUAUUGGUCAAUGGGCGCGAGCCUGAACCAGCCAAGUAGCGUGAAGGAUGAAUGCACUGCGGGUUGUAAACUUCUUUUGUAAAGGAAUAAAGUGAGGCACGUGUGCCUUUUUGUGUGUACUUUAUGAAUAAGGAUCGGCUAACUCCGUGCCAGCAGCCGCGGUAAUACGGAGGAUCCGAGCGUUAUCCGGAUUUAUUGGGGUUAAAGGGAGCGUAGAUGGGUUGUUAAGUCAGUUGUGAAAGUUUGCGGCUCAACCGUAAAAUUGCAAUUGAUACUGGCAGUCGUGAGUACAGGUGAGGUAGGCGGAAUUCGUGGUGUAGCGGUGAAAUGCUUAGAUAUCACGAAGAACUCCGAUUGCGAAGGCAGCUUACUAAACUGCCACUGACAUUGAUGCUCGAAAGCGUGGGUAUCAAACAGGAUUAGAUACCCCUGUAGUC
rnacentral:rRNA from 1 species